CCUACGGGAGGCAGCAGUAGGGAAUCUUCCACAAUGGGCGAAAGCCUGAUGGAGCAACGCCGCGUGAGUGAUGAAGGCCUUCGGGUUGUAAAACUCUGUCAUUCGGGACGAACCGGAGUCUGAGGAAAUGCAGACUCUCUGACGGUACCGGAGGAGGAAGCCCCGGCUAACUACGUGCCAGCAGCCGCGGUAAUACGUAGGGGGCAAGCGUUGUCCGGAUUCACUGGGCGUAAAGCGCGCGCAGGCGGUGAUGUAAGUCUGAGGUGAAAACCCGAAGCUCAACUUCGGGACUGCCUUGGAUACUGCGUCACUUGAGGAUAGGAGAGGCAAGGGGAAUUCCACGUGUAGCGGUGAAAUGCGUAGAGAUGUGGAGGAACACCUGUGGCGAAGGCGCCUUGCUGGCCUAUUUCUGACGCUGAGGCGCGAAAGCGUGGGGAGCAAACAGGAUUAGAUACCCUGGUAGUCCACGCUGUAAACGAUGAGUGCUAGGUGUAGGUGGGCUCAUACCCAUCUGUGCCGAAGCUAACGCAUUAAGCACUCCGCCUGGGGAGACGGUCGCAGACUGAAACUCAAAUGAAUUGAGGCUUGAGGCGNGCGAGCACGACGAGGGAGAGG
rnacentral:rRNA from 1 species